rnacentral:rRNA from 1 species
UACAGGGGGGGCAAGCGUUGUUCGGAAUUACUGGGCGUAAAGGGCUCGUAGGCGGCCAACUAAGUCACACGUGAAAUCCCCAGGCUUAACCUGGGAACUGCGUGUGAUACUGGAUGGCUUGAAUUCGGGAGAGGGAUGCAGAAUUCCAGGUGUAGCGGUGAAAUGCGUAGAUAUCUGGAGGAACACCGGUGGCGAAGGCGGCAUCCUGGACCAAUACUGACGCUGAGGAGCGAAAGCCAGGGGAGCAAACGGG